CCUACGGGGAGCUGCAGCGAGGAAUAUUGGUCAAUGGACGAGAGUCUGAACCAGCCAAGUAGCGUGAAGGAUGACUGCCCUAUGGGUUGUAAACUUCUUUUAUAAAGGAAUAAAACGAGGCACGUGUGCCUUUUUGCAUGUACUUUAUGAAUAAGGAUCGGCUAACUCCGUGCCAGCAGCCGCGGUAAUACGGAGGAUCCGAGCGUUAUCCGGAUUUAUUGGGUUUAAAGGGAGCGUAGAUGGGUUGUUAAGUCAGUUGUGAAAGUUUGCGGCUCAACCGUAAAAUUGCAGUUGAUACUGGCAGUCGUGAGUACAGUAGAGGUAAGCGGAAUUCGUGGUGUAGCGGUGAAAUGCUUAGAUAUCACGAAGAACCCCGAUUGCGAAGGCAGCUUACUAGACUGUGACUGACAUUGAGGCUCGAAAGUGUGGGUAUCAAACAGGAUUAGAUACCCGGGUAGUC
rnacentral:rRNA from 1 species